UACGUAGGGUGCAAGCGUUGUCCGGAAUUAUUGGGCGUAAAGAGCUCGUAGGCGGUCUGUCGCGUCGGAUGUGAAAACCUGGGGCUCAACCCCGGGCCUGCAGCCGAUACGGGCUAGCUAGAGUGUGGUAGGGGAGAUCGGAAUUCCUGGUGUAGCGGUGAAAUGCGCAGAUAUCAGGAGGAACACCGGUGGCGAAGGCGGAUCUCUGGGCCAUUACUGACGCUGAGGAGCGAAAGCGUGGGGAGCGAACAGG
rnacentral:rRNA from 1 species